CAUCAGACCUCUAAUCGGAAAAGACUACCCGCUGAGUUUAAGCAUAUCAAAG
rnacentral:rRNA from 1 species